rnacentral:snRNA from 1 species
AUACUUGUAUAUCAUCUAUUGAU